rnacentral:rRNA from 1 species
AGAGUAUGAUCCUGGCUCAGAGCGAACGCUGGCGGCGUGCUUAACACAUGCAAGUCGAACGGUUGUAGCAAUACAACCGUGGCGAACGGGUGCGUAACACGUGGAUAACCUUCCUUCAGGUGGGGAAUAACCCAGUGAAAAUUGGGCUAAUACCGCAUAACAAGACGAGGGCACAUGCUUUCGUCUUCAAAGGCGCAAGUCGCCAGAAGAGGGAUCCGCGGCCGAUUAGCUAGUUGGCGGGGUAACGGCCCACCAAGGCAAUGAUCGGUAGCCGGAUUGAGAGGUUGGCCGGCCACACUGGAACUGAGACACGGUCCAGACUCCUACGGGAGGCAGCAGUGGGAAUCUUGCACAAUGGACGAAAGUCUGAUGCAGCAACGCCGCGUGGGGGAUGAAGCUUCUCGGAGUGUAAACCCCUUUCGACCCGGAAGAAAGCCCGCAAGGGUUUGACGGUACGGGUAUAAGAAGCCCCGGCUAACUACGUGCCAGCAGCCGCGGUAAUACGUAGGGGGCCAGCGUUGCUCGGAAUUACUGGGCGUAAAGGGUCCGUAGGCGGUGUGGCAAGUCGGGAGUGAAAUCUCUGGGCUUAACCCAGAGGCUGCUUCCGAAACUGCCGUGCUAGAGUGUGAGAGAGGCGAGUAGAAUUGCGGGUGUAGCGGUGAAAUGCGUAGAUAUCCGCAGGAACAUCCGAGGCGAAAGCGGCUCGCUGGAUCACAACUGACGCUGAGGGACGAAAGCUAGGGGAGCAAACAGGAUUAGAUACCCUGGUAGUCCUAGCCCUAAACCAUCAGACUUGGGGUUUGCCCUGUACGGGGCAAGUCCCGUAGCUAACGCGUUAAGUCCUGCGCCUGGGGAGUACGGUCGCA